rnacentral:tRNA from 1 species
GGUUCCGUAGUAGUGUAGUGGUUACACGAUCGCUUCACAUGCGAGAGGUCCAAGAUUCGAGCCCGUAGAAUCA